rnacentral:rRNA from 1 species
UGAGUACGAGAUGCUACGGCAUCGAAGCAGUCUAUGUCAUACUUCCAAGAAAAGCUUGCACUGUCAGAAACAGAUAAUGCCUGUACCAUAACCGACACAGGUGGGUAGGUAGAGUAUACUAAGGGGCGCGAGAUAACUCUCUCUAAGGAACUCGGCAAAAUGACUCCGUAACUUCGGGAGAAGGAGUGCCUUAUUUUUAAGGUUGCAAUAACAAGAUCCAAGCAACUGUUUAUCAAAAACACAGGUCUCCGCUAAGUCGUAAGACGAUGUAUGGGGGCUGACGCCUGCCCAGUGCCAGAAGGUUAAAGAAGUCGGUUAGCAUUCGCGAAGCUGGUAACUGAAGCCCUGGUGAACGGCGGCCGUAACAAUAACGGUCCUAAGGUAGCGAAAUUCCUUGUCGGGUAAGUUCCGACCCGCACGAAAGGCGUAAUGAUUUGGAUACUGUCUCGGAGAGGGGCUCGGUGAAAUAGACUUGUCUGUGAAGAUGCGGACUACCUGCACCUGGACAGAAAGACCCUAUGAAGCUUUACUGUAACUUGAAAUUGAAAUUGGACUUUAUUUGCGCAGUAUAGGUGGGAGGCGUUGAAAAUAUUCUUGCGGGAAUAUUGGAGCCAUCAGUGAGAUACCACUCUUGUAAUGUUAGAUUUCUAACUUUAUAUCAUUAUCUGGUUAAAGAACAGUUUCAGGCGGGCAGUUUGACUGGGGCGGUCGCCUCCCAAAUGGUAACGGAGGCGCACAAAGGUUUCCUCUGAACGGGUAGAAAUCGUAUCUAGAGUGUAAAGGCAUAAGGAAGCUUGACUGUGAGACCUACAAGUCGAGCAGGGACGAAAGUCGGUCUUAGUGAUCUGACGGUGCUGAGUGGAAAGGCCGUCACUCAACGGAUAAAAGUUACUCUAGGAUAACAGGCUGAUCUCCCCCAAGAGUUCACAUCGACGGGGAGGUUUGGCACCUCGAUGUCGGCUCAUCGCAUCCUGGGGCGGUAGUACGUCCCAAGGGUUGGGCUGUUCGCCCAUGAAAGCGGUACGCGAGCUGGGUUCAGAACGUCGUGAGACAGUUCGGUCCAUAUCCGGUGUAGGCGUUAGAAUAUUGAGAGGAGCCUUCUUUAGUACGAGAGGACCGAGAAGGACAUACCUCUGGUGUACCAGUUAUCGUGCCAACGGUAAACGCUGGGUAGCUAUGUAUGGAGUGGAUAACCGCUGAAAGCAUCUAAGUGGGAAGCCCACCUCAAGAUAAGUAUUCUCAU